rnacentral:rRNA from 1 species
GCAACCUGAACUCAGGCGUGA